CUAUGCGCCUUGCCAGCCCGCUCAGGUGUGCCAGCAGCCGCGGUAAUACAGAGGUCUCAAGCGUUGUUCGGAAUCACUGGGCGUAAAGCGUGCGUAGGCGGUUUCGUAAGUCGUGUGUGAAAGGCGGGGCUCAACCCCCGGACUGCACAUGAUACUGCGAGACUAGAGUAAUGGAGGGGGAACCGGAAUUCUCGGUGUAGCAGUGAAAUGCGUAGAUAUCGAGAGGAACACUCGUGGCGAAGGCGGGUUCCUGGACAUUAACUGACGCUGAGGCACGAAGGCCAGGGGAGCGAAAGGG
rnacentral:rRNA from 1 species